rnacentral:rRNA from 1 species
UGGUGACUCAUAAUAACUGAUCGAAUCGCAAGGCCUAUGGCCGCGAUAAGUCAUUCAAGUUUCUGCCCCAUCAGCUUUCGAUGGUAGUGUAUUGGACUACCAUGGCGUUUACGGGUAACGGAGGAUUAGGGUUCGAUUCCGGAGAGGGAGCCUGAGAAACGGCUACCACAUCUAAGGAAGGCAGCAGGCGCGUAAAUUACCCAAUCCUGACUCAGGGAGGUAGUGACAAGAAAUAACGGGCCGGGAA